CUGUCCUUGGUUUUGCAUUUGGGGUAUUAUUUCUGUUUUGGUCCUUGAACUCUGACUCCCUCUGGUGACUGUUCCUAGUGUUGUAAAUGUCUAAAUCUGUGA